rnacentral:rRNA from 1 species
AACGCGAAGAACCUUACCUAGGCUUGACAUGCAUUGAAAACUGUUAGAGAUAACAGGUCCGCAAGGGCUUUGCACAGGUGGUGCAUGGCUGUCGUCAGCUCGUGUCGUGAGAUGUUGGGUUAAGUCCCGCAACGAGCGCAACCCUCGUCUUGUGCUGCCAACAGGUAAUGCUGGGAACUCACAAGAGACUGCCGGGGUCAACUCGGAGGAAGGUGGGGACGACGUCAAGUCAUCAUGCCCCUUAUGUCUAGGGCUGCACGCAUGCUACAAUGGCCGAUACAAAGGGCUGCGAUACCGUAAGGUGGAGCGAAUCCCAUAAAGUCGGUCUCAGUUCGGAUUGAGGUCUGCAACUCGACCUCAUGAAGUUGGAGUUGCUAGUAAUCGCGGAUCAGCAACGCCGCGGUGAAUACGUUCCCGGGUCUUGUACACACCG